UGGUAAACAAUCUUCACCCAAAUGCGAUGCUCUACACAAACUCCGUGACGAAAAGAUAUCAGCCAAUAAAAUCAAUUUUCUCUGAUCUGACUUUCCCAGAAAUUCGUAAUUCUAUAAAUAUAUUUUGAUUAAAAAAUCUACUUUUCAAUGUGACGAUUUACUAAAAAAAAAAAAUACAAAUUAAAUAAAUAUUUAUUUAUUUGUCUA